CGAGCACGCGCGUGUGGCAUAUCAAUAAGCGGAGGAAAAGAAACUAACAAGGAUUCCCUAGUAACGGCGAGUGAAGCGGGAAGAGCUCAAAUUUGAAAUCUUAAAGGGUUCUACCUUGACGAAUUGUAGUUUAUAGAAGUGCUUUUCUGUUAGUGGAGUUCGGUAAAAGUUCUUUGGAAUAGGACAUCAUAGAGGGUGAGAAUCCCGUAUUUGACCGUUACUUCCCUAGCUUUGUGAUACACUUUCAAAGAGUCGGAUUGUUUGGGAAUGCAGUCCAAAAUGGGUGGUAAAUUUCAUCUAAAGCUAAAUAUUGGCGAGAGACCGAUAGCGAACAAGUACCGUGAGGGAAAGAUGAAAAGAACUUUGAAGAGAGAGUUAAACAGUACGUGAAAUUGUCAAAAGGGAAGCGUUUGACACCAGUGUUGUUUUUCCGAAAAUCAAUUACGAAUGUUUUGUUUUUAAGAAGUUAUGACUUCAUCGGCUUGCUUCUUUCUUUACGAAACUUUCUUAAUGCACUUUUCGGUUAACAAGUCAACAUCAAUUUCUUUUGUUGUAAAAGGGUACUGAGGAAGGUGGCUUUCUUUUCGGAGAAAGUGUUUAUAGCCUUGUACCUCUGCAAUCGGAGAGAUUGAGGUCUGCAGCGUAGAUCCUUCGGGGUUAGAUACAGUUUGUGCUAAGUUAUAGCUUUUCAUAGACAACUUGUUGACUAUGUUUAGUCUUGUAGCUUACUCGCUGAUGCUAUUUUACCUACGCUUAGGAUGUUGAGUAGCGACAUACGCAC
rnacentral:rRNA from 1 species